UACAGAGGUCCCGAGCGUUGUUCGGAUUCACUGGGCGUAAAGGGUGCGUAGGUGGUGAGGUAAGUCGGAUGUGAAAGCUCGGAGCUCAACUCCGAAACGGCAUUGGAAACUACCUUGCUUGAGGAUUGGAGGGGGGACUGGAAUACUUGGUGUAGCAGUGAAAUGCGUAGAUAUCAAGUGGAACACCAGUGGCGAAGGCGAGUCCCUGGACAAUACCUGACACUGAGGCACGAAAGCUAGGGGAGCAAACAGG
rnacentral:rRNA from 1 species